GCAGCCUCAGUGCUCUGCCGCCCCCUAAAUACAGUGGCGGUCCCGCCGCAGCCUCCUUUGCGUAGUAGUAAACCACCUCGCACAUGGAACGCAGCGUGACCACGCCGUUAAACCCCCAACUUUCUGAAGUUUGACCUCGGAUCAGGUAGGAAU
rnacentral:rRNA from 1 species